AGUAUGGGGAGAGAAAAAUAAUCAUGCAUUCUUCAAAAUUCAGAAAUAAUAAAAUAAUUGAGUGGGUAAAAUGUGCAUUUGUAGGGUGUUGAUGAAGGCCAAAAUAGUGAUACAAUUUCCAUGCACACUCUAAAAUGGAGAAUACAAACUCAUCAUUUAUUUAUUAACCACUAUUAAUCAACUAAUCAAAUAUUUUGUAUUAUUUAAAACUACCAAAUUCUAGACUUUUAUGGAAUAGCUGUUAAACUGAUGAGUACUUCUCGAAAAAUUAUAAUUGCAUAUGUUGAAACACAAUCUUUUGAAAAUGCAGGUAAGCACUUAACAUGAUAAAGAAUCUCAUGAAAUCGUGUUACUGACCCAACAUAAUUAUUCUGAAAGUAUCAAGAGAACAACAUAACGACUUAAUCAUGUGUGCACAAAUGUUUUUCUCUCUCCAACCCCCAAAAAUCUCUGAAUUCAACAAAUAGCUAAUUGGCUUCUAUUUGAAGUUUAUAAGAAGAACCGAGAUGUGUUACAUGGUCCUUCCUUGCAAGCAGCUCAUUCUAUAUAGGAGCAGCAGGCAUACCACACAUACAGAAAUACAUCCACAGUAGGACAAGGAAUGAGACGUGGAGGUGUAGAAAUGUUGAAGCCUUCAGAGAUCAUUCUAGAUAUUAAAGUAGGAUUUAAACAAUGAAAAUGAAGAAUGAGUGGUGGCAGUGGGAGGAAAGUUGGGCAAAAGCACAGCAUGAACACUGCAUGAGAAGCAGCCAAGUGAAGAGCAUCUCCAGAAAAAUAAGUGGAGCCAUGCAUUUGCAAGGAGGUGGAAUGCAGGACAUAAAGUAUAAUGGCCCCCUUCAAGUAAAUGCAAGUUAAGAUUCAAGAGUUCAAUCACGUCAUCUUAUAAAGGAAAUGGAAUAAUGGAAACCAAGAGAAGCAGAAGGACUUGCUUAUAAUCAUACCACUCUUUCAGAAGUAGAACCCAAACUUGAUAAAGGUCUUUAGAAUCCAGGUUCAGUCUUUCCUCCACAUUACCUGGUAUUUAAUAAUGAUAUAUAUUUGGUAAUCAUUCUUAAAGAGUCAUGGUUUCAUUAGAGAGAAGAGAAUUGAAGACUCCCCUAAUUUUUUGAACCAUCAAGCAUUAAAAUAAAACAUUUUUCAGUGGAGUUCCUGAGGAAUUCUGUUUUCAUUAACUGUUAAGAGAAUUACAUGUAUAAUUAAGGGAAGAACAUGUAUUUCAAUUUAAAUUAAUGGUUGUGCUUAAAAAUUUGAA